rnacentral:lncRNA from 10 species
UUUCCAAAUUACUGGCAUCACAUCCAUCUAUCUCCAAACAUCUUUUCCCUCCCCUCAACCUCUGCUCUUUCUCUCUCUUUCUUCCUACCUUUCUCUCUCUCUCUGUCCUUCUGGACUAUUGACCCCUUCAAUAUUUAAUAUCACCUCCAAAAGGAUAAUUAAAAGGUGAUUUGGAAAGAUUUGCUUUCCUCAGUCUCUUCUUUAUCUACUUCUUUUCACCAAAUCUCUUUUUUCUCCUCCUUUGAAAUGAUUUUGUAAUCUAUCUACCCUUUCACCUCACUGUGCUACUUCUUUAUAUGUUACCUAAACUAUUACCUAAAAUCAUAAUGUACAUGCUCAUCUCCAGGCUUGCACACUCCAAUCUGUACUUCUAACUGUUAAAUUUCUAGAGUGCACACCUGAUUCUCUCAUUUCCUGAUUUAAAACCUUCAUAUUUUUCUGCAUUAUAUUUAGGAUGAUUUCCAGCUUCUGACUUAUCAUCGCACUUGAAGCUGUUUAUAAUAUGCCAUAAUUUGCCUUGCCUAUGCCAUCUCUGGUGCUUUCUACUCCUGUCAGACUGUUUUGCUGCUGUUUUCCAUGCAUGCCAUGAAGCUUCACACCUCUCAGCUUGUGCUCAUACUGUUCCUUCUGCCCAGAUUACUCCUUCCAUUCUUAUCUAGUUGUCAAAUCUUGUUCCUCACAUUCUGCUCAAACAUCAAAUAUAAAAUACCCUUUCUAUGCAGCUUUUCACAGAGCUCUAGCAAAAUUGUUAUUAAUCACCCAUACUGUGCUUCCCUCCACUCUCCCACUCCUCAUUUUUUUUAGUUAGUAGUCCUUGUGAUCCCCCAGAGAUAAUCAGGGCCUAAGAGCUGAAAAUAAGUUCUUUUACUUCUAAACUCUCAUAGGCAAGGCGAAUGCCAAAUGUUAAUUACUAAAAUGGGUAGUAAUGUGUUUUUAGAGUUCAGUAUGUAUCAGCCAAAUGUAUGCACGAGGGUUUUACAUGCAUGAAAAAAACUUAAUUGCAACAACAUUAUGCUGUAAUUUUCCUGAAGAAAGAGACUUGCUUUAUUCAUUGUAGGUUCUUUGAUGUCUAGAACUGUACUUGGUCUGGCAGAUGCUCAAGAACUCUUUGUUGACCAGGGUCUGGGGCCAGUUAAAGGCUGGGCUUUAUCAUGGAAGCAGAUGUACUUUCUAUUGCAAUGAAAAAU